GGGACACGUGGUAUCCUGUCUGAAUAUGGGGGGACCAUCCUCCAAGGCUAAAUACUCCUGACUGACCGAUAGUGAACCAGUACCGUGAGGGAAAGGCGAAAAGAACCCCGGCGAGGGGAGUGAAAAAGAACCUGAAACCGUGUACGUACAAGCAGUGGGAGCACGCUUAGGCGUGUGACUGCGUACCUUUUGUAUAAUGGGUCAGCGACUUAUAUUCUGUAGCAAGGUUAACCGAAUAGGGGAGCCGAAGGGAAACCGAGUCUUAACUGGGCGUUAAGUUGCAGGGUAUAGACCCGAAACCCGGUGAUCUAGCCAUGGGCAGGUUGAAGGUUGGGUAACACUAACUGGAGGACCGAACCGACUAAUGUUGAAAAAUUAGCGGAUGACUUGUGGCUGGGGGUGAAAGGCCAAUCAAACCGGGAGAUAGCUGGUUCUCCCCGAAAGCUAUUUAGGUAGCGCCUCGUGAAUUCAUCUCCGGGGGUAGAGCACUGUUUCGGCAAGGGGGUCAUCCCGACUUACCAACCCGAUGCAAACUGCGAAUACCGGAGAAUGUUAUCACGGGAGACACACGGCGGGUGCUAACGUCCGUCGUGAAGAGGGAAACAACCCAGACCGCCAGCUAAGGUCCCAAAGUCAUGGUUAAGUGGGAAACGAUGUGGGAAGGCCCAGACAGCCAGGAUGUUGGCUUAGAAGCAGCCAUCAUUUAAAGAAAGCGUAAUAGCUCACUGGUCGAGUCGGCCUGCGCGGAAGAUGUAACGGGGCUAAACCAUGCACCGAAGCUGCGGCAGCGACACUAUGUGUUGUUGGGUAGGGGAGCGUUCUGUAAGCCUGUGAAGGUGUACUGUGAGGUAUGCUGGAGGUAUCAGAAGUGCGAAUGCUGACAUAAGUAACGAUAAAGCGGGUGAAAAGCCCGCUCGCCGGAAGACCAAGGGUUCCUGUCCAACGUUAAUCGGGGCAGGGUGAGUCGACCCCUAAGGCGAGGCCGAAAGGCGUAGUCGAUGGGAAACAGGUUAAUAUUCCUGUACUUGGUGUUACUGCGAAGGGGGGACGGAGAAGGCUAUGUUGGCCGGGCGACGGUUGUCCCGGUUUAAGCGUGUAGGCUGGU
rnacentral:rRNA from 1 species